rnacentral:rRNA from 1 species
AGUGAACGCUGGCGGUAGGCCUAACACAUGCAAGUCGAACGGCAGCACAGGAGAGCUUGCUCUCUGGGUGGCGAGUGGCGGACGGGUGAGGAAUACAUCGGAAUCUACUCUGUCGUGGGGGAUAACGUAGGGAAACUUACGCUAAUACCGCAUACGACCUACGGGUGAAAGCAGGGGAUCUUCGGACCUUGCGCGAUUGAAUGAGCCGAUGUCGGAUUAGCUAGUUGGCGGGGUAAAGGCCCACCAAGGCGGCGAUCCGUAGCUGGUCUGAGAGAAUGAUCAGCCACACUGGAACUGAGACACGGUCCAGAUUCCAACGGAAGGCAGCAGUGGGGAAUAUUGGACAAUGGGCGCAAGCCUGAUCCAGCCAUACCGCGUGGGUGAAGAAGGCCUUCGGGUUGUAAAGCCCUUUUGUUGGGAAAGAAAUCCAGCUGGCUAAUACCCGGUUGGGAUGACGGUACCCAAAGAAUAAGCACCGGCUAACUUCGUGCCAGCAGCCGCCGUAA